UCUGGUCCUUGUGUGCCCGCCGCCGCGGUCCUACGUAGGGAGCGCGCGUUGUCCGGAAUUACUGGGUGUAAAGGGAGCGUAGGCGGGAUCGCAAGUCAGAUGUGAAAACUAUGGGCUUAACCCAUAAACUGCAUUUGAAACUGUGGUUCUUGAGUGAAGUAGAGGUAAGCGGAAUUCCUAGUGUAGCGGUGAAAUGCGUAGAUAUUAGGAGGAACAUCAGUGGCGAAGGCGGCUUACUGGGCUUUAACUGACGCUGAGGCUCGAAAGCGUGGGGAGCAAACAGG
rnacentral:rRNA from 1 species